rnacentral:pre_miRNA from 1 species
UUCCUACUCCCUCCAUUCCGAAUUACUUGUCUUGGAUUUGUCUAGAUACAGAUGUAUCUAGACUCAUUUUAGUGCUAGAUACCUUCGUAUCUAGACAAAUCUAAGACAAGUAAUUCGGAACGGAGGGAGUACUAG